rnacentral:rRNA from 1 species
CCCUUAGAUGUUCUGGGCCGCACGCGCGCUACACUGACGAUGGCAACGAGUUUUUCCUUCGCCGAAAGGUGUGGGUAAUCUUUUGAAACAUCGUCGUGCUGGGGAUAGAUCAUUGCAAUUUUUGAUCUUGAACGAGGAAUUCCUAGUAAGCGCGAGUCAUCAGCUCGCGUUGAUUACGUCCCUGCCCUUUGUACACACCGCCCGUCGCUACUACCGAUUGAAUGGUUUAGUGAGGACUCCUGACUGGCGCCGCCGCCCCGGCAACGGAGCAGCGGACUGCCGAAAAGUUGUUCAAACUUGAUCAUUUAGAGGAAGUAAAAGUCGUAACA